UUAAGCGACUAAGCGUACACGGUGGAUGCCCGGCAGUCAGAGGCGAUGAAGGACGUGCUAAUCUGCGAAAAGCGUCGGUAAGGUGAUAUGAACCGUUAUAACCGGCGAUGUCCGAAUGGGGAAACCCAGUGCAAUUCGUUGCACUAUCGUUAACUGAAUACAUAGGUUAACGAGGCGAACCGGGGGAACUGAAACAUCUAAGUACCCCGAGGAAAAGAAAUCAACCGAGAUUCCCCCAGUAGCGGCGAGCGAACGGGGAGCAGCCCAGAGUCUGAAUCAGCUUGUGUGUUAGUGGAACGGUCUGGAAAGUCCGACGGUACAGGGUGAUAGUCCCGUACACCAAAAUGCACAGGCUGUGAACUCGAAGAGUAGGGCGGGACACGUGGUAUCCUGUCUGAAUAUGGGGGGACCAUCCUCCAAGGCUAAAUACUCCUGACUGACCGAUAGUGAACCAGUACCGUGAGGGAAAGGCGAAAAGAACCCCGGCGAGGGGAGUGAAAAAGAACCUGAAACCGUGUACGUACAAGCAGUGGGAGCACCUUCGGGUGUGACUGCGUACCUUUUGUAUAAUGGGUCAGCGACUUAUAUUCUGUAGCAAGGUUAACCGUAUAGGGGAGCCGCAGGGAAACCGAGUCUUAACUGGGCGUUAAGUUGCAGGGUAUAGACCCGAAACCCGGUGAUCUAGCCAUGGGCAGGUUGAAGGUUGGGUAACACUAACUGGAGGACCGAACCGACUAAUGUUGAAAAAUUAGCGGAUGACUUGUGGCUGGGGGUGAAAGGCCAAUCAAACCGGGAGAUAGCUGGUUCUCCCCGAAAGCUAUUUAGGUAGCGCCUCGUGAACUCAUCUUCGGGGGUAGAGCACUGUUUCGGCUAGGGGGUCAUCCCGACUUACCAACCCGAUGCAAACUACGAAUACCGAAGAAUGUUAUCACGGGAGACACACGGCGGGUGCUAACGUCCGUCGUGAAGAGGGAAACAACCCAGACCGCCAGCUAAGGUCCCAAAGUCAUGGUUAAGUGGGAAACGAUGUGGGAAGGCACAGACAGCCAGGAUGUUGGCUUAGAAGCAGCCAUCAUUUAAAGAAAGCGUAAUAGCUCACUGGUCGAGUCGGCCUGCGCGGAAGAUGUAACGGGGCUAAACCAUGCACCGAAGCUGCGGCAGCGACACUAUGUGUUGUUGGGUAGGGGAGCGUUCUGUAAGCCUGCGAAGGUGUGCUGUGAGGCAUGCUGGAGGUAUCAGAAGUGCGAAUGCUGACAUAAGUAACGAUAAAGCGGGUGAAAAGCCCGCUCGCCGGAAGACCAAGGGUUCCUGUCCAACGUUAAUCGGGGCAGGGUGAGUCGACCUAAGGCGAGGCCGAAAGGCGUAGUCGAUGGGAAACAGGUUAAUAUUCCUGUACUUGGUGUUACUGCGAAGGGGGACGGAGAAGGCUAUGUUAGCCGGGCGACGGUUGUCCCGGUUUAAGCAUGUAGGCUGGUUGUCGGGCAAAUCCGGAUAAUCAAGGCUGAGGUGUGAUGACGAGGCACUACGGUGCUGAAGUAACAAAUGCCCUGCUUCCGUGAAAAGCCUCUAAGCAUCAGGUAACAUCAAAUCGUACCCCAAACCGACACAGGUGGUCAGGUAGAGAAUACCAAGGCGCUUGAGAGAACUCGGGUGAAGGAACUAGGCAAAAUGGUGCCGUAACUUCGGGAGAAGGCACGCUGGUGUGUAGGUGAAGCCCCUGCGGGUGGAGCUGAGACCAGUCGAAGAUACCAGCUGGCUGCAACUGUUUAUUAAAAACACAGCACUGUGCAAACACGAAAGUGGACGUAUACGGUGUGACGCCUGCCCGGUGCCGGAAGGUUAAUUGAUGGGGUUAUCCGUAAGGAGAAGCUCUUGAUCGAAGCCCCGGUAAACGGCGGCCGUAACUAUAACGGUCCUAAGGUAGCGAAAUUCCUUGUCGGGUAAGUUCCGACCUGCACGAAUGGCGUAAUGAUGGCCAGGCUGUCUCCACCCGAGACUCAGUGAAAUUGAACUCGCUGUGAAGAUGCAGUGUACCCGCGGCAAGACGGAAAGACCCCGUGAACCUUUACUAUAGCUUGACACUGAACAUUGAGCCUUGAUGUGUAGGAUAGGUGGGAGGCUUUGAAGCGUGGACGCCAGUCUGCGUGGAGCCAACCUUGAAAUACCACCCUUUAAUGUUUGAUGUUCUAACGUUGGCCCCUUACCGGGGUUGCGGACAGUGUCUGGUGGGUAGUUUGACUGGGGCGGUCUCCUCCCAAAGCGUAACGGAGGAGCACGAAGGUUAGCUAAUCCUGGUCGGACAUCAGGAGGUUAGUGCAAUGGCAUAAGCUAGCUUGACUGCGAGCGUGACGGCGCGAGCAGGUGCGAAAGCAGGUCAUAGUGAUCCGGUGGUUCUGAAUGGAAGGGCCAUCGCUCAACGGAUAAAAGGUACUCCGGGGAUAACAGGCUGAUACCGCCCAAGAGUUCAUAUCGACGGCGGUGUUUGGCACCUCGAUGUCGGCUCAUCACAUCCUGGGGCUGAAGUAGGUCCCAAGGGUAUGGCUGUUCGCCAUUUAAAGUGGUACGCGAGCUGGGUUUAGAACGUCGUGAGACAGUUCGGUCCCUAUCUGCCGUGGGCGCUGGAGAAUUGAGGGGGGCUGCUCCUAGUACGAGAGGACCGGAGUGGACGCAUCACUGGUGUUCGGGUUGUCAUGCCAAUGGCACUGCCCGGUAGCUAAAUGCGGAAGAGAUAAGUGCUGAAAGCAUCUAAGCACGAAACUUGCCCCGAGAUGAGUUCUCCCUGAGACUUUAAGUCUCCUGAAGGAACGUUGAAGACGACGACGUUGAUAGGCCGGGUGUGUAAGCGCAGCGAUGCGUUGAGCUAACCGGUACUAAUGAACCGUGAGGCUUAACCU
rnacentral:rRNA from 1 species